rnacentral:tRNA from 1 species
CAAAUUGAAGCUUAAAUGAAGCAUUUUAGUUACAUUAAAAGGAUGAUUGUGUGAUUCAGUCUAAUUUGA